AGCAGUGUGGCAUAGUGGUAAGGUGCAAGGCUCAGAAGCAUAAGGUUGUUGGUUCGAUUCCCAGCUAAGACACUGCUG